UUACUCUUGUUUCUCUUCAUAUUGUAUAAAUCUUUCACCUUUUACUAAAGAUUUCCGUGGGGUGCAAUAACAAGGGUCUAUCUCAAUUUUUGAUCCUCUGUGAAUGCGGGGU